GAGCACCUGUGGGCAUCUUUCCUCAACGCCCGGACUACAAAUCUCUAACACGGAAAUGUCUGCUACAGAGACAAACUGAAGUUUGUGUAUAUCGUGCUGAUUCAGAAGAGAAUGAAGGCAUUUGUCAAGAGAUAAUGUCAGACUAAUCAGACAUGUUCCAAUCGAUUAAUGCAUUUGGAGGAUUUCCAAAUAUUUGCUGAUCUAAGGACGGUGAGGUAUAUGAUGGGAAACAAAUCUGAGAAAAGAAGGAUGGUAGAUGCUUUCCCAUUGUGACCUGUGAUCAUUUUGGUAAGAACACUUUACUCAAUUAAGAGGCGAUCAAGUGAUUCCAGGCCUGCUGCUAAAUAAUUAUGAGAUGAUAUUUGGAAAUAUGUAUUUCUCCUUUACCUCCUGAAGCCACAGAAACUAGUGGUCUCCUAUUAAGUAAAUAGAUGUGGGUCUCAUUAGAGGGAUCCAUUCUAAAACAGAAGAGGACAACACUCAGGGAGGGCUGCAAUGAGACAGAGAAUCCUGAGAUUGUUCCUCAUGUGCAGAUCUUCACCUGGGGCUGCAGAAGACUGUACAGCUAUAGACAAAAUAAUGAUAAGGUACAGAUGUCGUGGAAAGCCAGAACAUAGGAGUGAAUCCAUCCUACAGUCUGAAGGCGGAAACAAAGCCAUAAAUGGGGUUGGGGGAGAAACCCUGUGGUAAGAAUCUGUAGAGAUGAGGAAAAAAUUGUAGGAUUUAAGGUAGGUUAGGAACUGGCAGUUCAGAGCAAUGCCAGGGUAUUAGAAACUCACUCUCGUGUCAUCUAAGUUUCCCAAUAUAGGAUUGAGUGGACCUCAUCAUAUUAGCCACAUUCAAGGAAUAUAUGUAUGUUAUAGAAGUCAAUGGUUACAUUAAAAUAUUAAGUUUGAACACAAGUUCUAAUUUAUUUUUAUCAUUAUUUCUUAAUAGCAAUUAAUUCUUUGGGGCUUCAAUUACUGACUGUAUUCCAAACGGUUACCAACAGUUCACUUCUUUUAUUGCAGAACUUACACCAUUUCCAAAUAACCAAUGUAAAUUUUUACCUCGGAUAUUAUUUUGUUACCCGCAAACAACAAAUGUGAAUUUAGAUUUAUCAUCUUCGUCGGGGACUGAAUUUCCCCUGUAAUAUUGUUUUUUGUUGAUUUGUUUGUUUUGUAGUGGCAUCCCCUGCCCCUAUGUACCUAUGUUUGAUUUAUCUUUUAUUUCCUUCUUUUAUACUUAAACCUUAAGGUGGAUUGGAAAGUUGAUAUCAGUGACACAAAGUUUAGUUGAUUGGGUACUUUACAUUUCUACUUGACUUUGUACAUUUCUGAUUUAUAUGAACAACAAGCAACUCAGACUAAGCCUCCUUCAUUGCCCUAAGAGGUCUACUAUAUUUCUAGUGAUUUUACCUAGGGGAUCUAUACAUGUACUAACAGUAGAAAUUAGAGGUGCAACACUACUGGCCAGAAUAUAGCAACAUCCUAAGUACAUUAAUAAUGUGUAAAGUGCCCAGCAUGUAAGGCACAAAUAAAAAUAGGGAAUGUCAUUUUAUUAAAUUAUCAGAAGUUAUGGGUCACAUUCAAACAGAAAUAUUCUAAGAAAUUCAAUUCUAAGAAAUUCAACUUACUUUUAAUGUCAAUGUUUCUGAAAUUGGUAAACAUCAUUGACGUCAAAAAGCCUUCUAUGCAUGAAAUAAAUUAUACUUGUCAUUUCUGAGCUUAUGGUAACAUGGUCAAGAAUUAAAGGUAUAUUCAUCUGACUUCUGUUUCAUCAGGCUGCUAUUUGAGAAGGGUUAUUUGCCUUAGUACCAUCAGCAGUGGUUGAAUUUUAUAUUUGGUUCUGCAUUUGUCAUUUAAAAUGUCCACAAAAAGAUAACCCCCUUAAGGAGCAUUAGAACUAGAAGUUACUGUGAACCUAGACGAUCGCCUGUUUUUUGCCAUCUAGCAUAAUGAAGGUCGUAGUAUUGCCAAAGUUUUUCGAAUUCACUGUAGUUUUUUCAAAACUAGAUAAAAACUCUGACCAAUUUUUGAGUCCUGGGGGACUAUCACUUCAGCCAUAAACACAAACAAGUUAACUAGAAUUUAACGAAAUAGUAAAUGGAGAAAAAAAUUCUAGAAUUACCUGAUUUGUUUCUAAAUUAUACUGUUGCUCCUAAAAAUGUUAAGAAAUUAGGGUCGUGAGCACUGUUGGUCACUAUGAUGAUAUGCUUACCCACUGAUGGUCAAAAUUUAUCAGAAGAAUUUUUAGAUUUGGACUAUGUCAUGGCUUAGAUGCUGAUACUGAUGAAUAAAGUGACAUGCAAUUUUAUGGAUAAAUGAAUGUUACUGUUAAGUAGUUUUUAAAUAUGUACAUUUUAAUAUAAUGUAUUUCCUCAAAAUGCUAUUCUCAAUUUGAUGAUAUGCCUUGAAAAUCAAUACUGUUUUAGGAAGAAGGAAAUGUGGUAAAUUAAUGGUGUCAUUAGAAGAACGGAGGUUGCCAUAGAACCUCAUUUGCUUUACUCUUAGGAUGUAACUUUUAAAUUUAUUCUUAUUUGAAUUUUCUUAUCUUCCAUACUGAACAGGAAGCUUAUUGAAUGAACAAACCAUGAGUACAAUUAGCAUAUACCUAAAUUGAUUUGCAGUGAAAAGGUGCUUCAUAAAUUCUUGUUUGCCUGAAGAAAUUAGGAGGCAAAGGAGCAUCAAAACAAAAGGGAAAAUAAGAAUUAAAGUGAGAUGCUGUAUCAGAGGCCAAGUAAAGAUGCUGGUCUGCCUAAUCUGACUUUCUGACACUGAGAGGCAAACCUCCAAAAUUUCCACCUAUCUACAUACAUUCAUUCACUCACUCACCCAGUCUCUAUACAUUAGGAAGUCAUUGCUUUAUGUUAACCCUUGGUUUUGAAAAAGAAUGCAAAAUUAAAUGAAGAAUAAACUCUGUUUAAAAGGGAGGGUUUGUUUGACAGGCAUAUGUAUAAACACUGGAAAUUAUGAGAGUACAGAGGGUUUCCAAUUUUCCACAUACAGAAAGAGUACUAAAAAAUGGUGGUGUGUUCAGAGUAAUGGCAAACUUAAUUUAAUUUCAUGCCUUCAAGCAAUAUUACUUUAUUUAUUGAGAAUUUUAACACAAAGCAAUCAUUUGUAUAUCACGGAUACCCAGAAAGAAUAAAUAUUGUGGUUCUAAUUCCUACACUUUGAUUUAUUAGUCUUUAGUUUAUUUGAAUGUCAUGUCACAGAGUACAGCUAAUAAAAGCAUGAACAUUUGUCUUUGAGCAAGUUUGAUCUGAGGUGAGUAACAUUAAACAAUAGCCUAUUGACAAGCAAUUAAACACCACUUCUUUUCUUAGGAGUGUUUUGAAUUACAUUUGUUCUAACUAGUGGCAGCAUCUUUUGUGUUUAGAAUUCCAAUAUAAUCUUAGAUGAGAAGAAUCUUUUAAUUAGAUUUUCAAUAGAAUCGGCCAAGACCCACUGCUCACCAUCUUGACUCUUUGUCUUCAUUGAUUUGGACCAAAACAAAACAAAGAUAAAUAGCAAAAUUCAUUAUCAAUGUUUAUUUCAACUGUCUAUUGUCAUUUCCUCAGGGUAUACAACACAGUUUUCCGCAGACAGAAUGCUGUGUUUCUUACUUUUAGCUUUAGAGCUGUAUAUUCAACAAUUCUGUGUCAUGGAAGAACCUAGCUGAGGCAAAAAAAAGAAAAAGGUAAUUUUCUUCUUCCAUUUACACGUAAAAUGUUUAUUUGAAGAAUAAGAAAUAAGCAAAGAGACAGGAGAAGGAAAUUGUGUUUCUUUCAGCAAGUAAAAAGAAAGGCAAAACCCAAAAUAAAUAAUAUGUAAUUAUUUUUUAUCUGACUAUUUUUUGGCAUUUGUUUCUGCAUUUCUAAAUAAUGGAACUAUAAUACAUUUUCACUAUUGGUCAAUUUUAGGUAUCAUUUACUUACUACCUAUAAUAAAAGUUAAAAUUGUAGCUAUGAAAGGACCCCUUUAAUGCUAAAAAUAUCACAGGAAAUAUUUGCAUUACCUAAGUCAAUACGUAAGUCAGCCAGGAAGAACAUUUACAAGACAAAGUUGAUCAUGAUACUCUCUUGUAAGUGAAGAUGCUAUUAUUUUAUAACCUAGAUGUGAGGAUCUGAAAGUUGUUAAAUAAAGGCUCCAUAUGAGCUCUUGUACUCUGUAAAAUGUCCUCUUAAGUUAGCUUUAGCUAAACUAACAUACUGCCAGGGAACAGUGUUAAUGUGUUUAAUUACCAAGCUCUUUCCAAGAAAGCCUUGUCACUUGUUCACUGGUCUUAUUGCCACUUUCUGUCUUCACUCUACUUCUACCUUUCCACAAACACAUCAGUACAGAUAUUUGCAUGUUUUGCACUUCUCCACAGUUUGUACUAGUUUCUAGAAGAAAUUUUUUACUGUCAAUUAAGGCAAUGCUUUAUUCACAUGUGGCUGCCACUAGAGAAAUGUCUUAAAUUAACAAAGAAAUAAAUCCAUUAAAAAAAAUGUUUCUCUGUUGCCUGUGCCUUUUGUGAAACCCCAAUUCACAUGCUCACUAACUUUUAAAAUCAUAUAAAAUUUUAAGAGCAAAAGAAUUUUAUUACAGUGUGAUGCAGGGUUAACCGUUUUGAAAUGAUACUUAUACUGCCUAAAUUAUACCUGGUCAUCCAAGUAGAAACUAACAAUGAUUGGGUAAUAAACAGAUGGAAACCAGGUUGCUAAGGAAAAGGAACAGGAAAUGAACUCCCUAAUUAGAUAACAAAGGUUUUGUCUACAUAAUGCCAAAAUAACUAAUUUAAUAUUUUGAAUCAGUUAGAUUGGGUUUUAUCAUGUAAGCAAAACAGAGAACUGAUUCCCUGAUGCUUUCGUUCUAUCUUCAGUUGUUUGUGGCAUUAUAGAGACAACACUUACGUAUGUUUCAAGCUACUUUACCUUUGUAUUUCAGGCCACAUUUCCUAGGGAGACUGUCUAAGGGAAAAUGAUUUUCUCUUUAGUUAUGAGACAAAGCCUAUACCUACAAAUUAGUUUGAUCACUUUGGUUGAGUUUACUAGUAAAGAGCCCUCCUAAAUAGUUUACAUGAUAUGUGUCUACACGUGUGUAUCUGAUUUGCCAAAAUUGAAAUAUUUUGUACAUGGCAAAUACGUUCUUUAAAUGUGUAAGCAAAUAGGUUUAUUUUAGUCAACAAUUGAUGACAGGAUAGAAAAAUAACCAGAAAUGUGGAUCCAGCUCUUAUCAUAGAAAAUUUGUACUCCUGUAGAUUCCAUGACAUCCUCACCUCCUGGUUUAUCUUUGACCUUUCUUUUGGAAUUUCUAAGGGUAGGCAUUGAAGUCUUCCAUUAGUCCUUGAAAACUCAGUCAUUACUCCUUUAAGUAUUGUCUCCCCUUUAUUAUCUCUCUCUCUCUCUCCUUCUGGGACUCCGAUUAGUUACAUACUAGGCCUCCCGACAUGUUCUCCCAGUCUCUUAGCCUCUUUCUCAUAUUUUCUAUCUCCUUAUCCCUCUAUGCUACAUUCUGAUUAAUUUCCUCAGAUGUAUCUUCGAGGUAAUUAGUUUUUUUUUCAUCCAUAUUGGUUGAAUCUACCAUUAAAUCUAUUUAUUCAGGAUUAUUUAUAAUUUUUAGUUUUUAUUUUUAUCUAAUUAAUAAGUGUGAAUUAAAAAAUCAAAUGAUUCUACAAACUAUGCAAUUCUUAGAACCUCUCUC
rnacentral:lncRNA from 1 species